AAGCUAACAACUAUCCUUAUGUUUUAAACUCAUUGAUUUGCAAUGAAUAAUUAAGAACAUAGAACAUAUCUAUCUUGGAGUUGGAGGCAGAUGAGUAUUAUGUUAACAGGUGGAAGUUGGAAGGCCUAUAGACACCAAUCGGAAGCGAGCUUAUGAUGAUCCUCAAAGCAAACCAGCCAGGAAAACUCCAAGUUGUUCCAAACUUCCAAGGGAUGAUAUGAUCUCCAGUCCCUCUGGUGGUUCUAAAUCCGAAGCUCCAAAAGUGAAUUAUUCACUGCAGGGGGAUAUGACGACCUGGUGUGUAAACAUGAUGGACGUUCUAGUGCCUACUUAGAUACCAUCUCUUAGGAUUGGUUUAUACAGGGAUAUGACGACCUGGUCUGUAUACAUGAUGGACGUUCUGGUGCCUAAUUAGAUACCAGUUGUUCACCUGUUACCAUAAUCAUAAGUAAAAUUUAGUCUAGCUACAUUUUUUUGUAAUUCAGCCUCAUCCUUACUUUAGUCCAUAUAGAUGAGCUUGGGCACAUGAAUUUUCCUUUUUUAUUCUAGUCUAAUGCAAGUUAUUUCUCUUAUUAUAUUUAAUUUUAAAAAAUAAUUUCUAAUUACUUCAUACCAUGGAAGUUUUGGUCGGUCUCUGUCUCUCAUCUUUUGUGCAAACAAACUUUCCUUUUCUUAUUGGUGCAUCAUGGGUCUUCGUUGCGUAUGACCAUACAAUCUAAGUCUACUUUCUCUUAUUUUAUCCUAAAAUAAGUGUCAUCUUUAGUUUUUCCCUCCCAUCUCUACUAGUUACUCUUAUCUACUAUCUUAACAUUCUCAUUUUAGUUAGAUGACCUUUUUUUCUUUUUCUUUUUCCUUUUUUUUAAAAAAAAAAAAAAAAAAAAAAAAAAAAAAAACUCAGUCAUUACAUUUUUAUUAUUUCACUGGCGGAGUUGUUUGCUUUGCGCAAUUCGUCUGGUUUAAUAAACCCUAACUUGGUUAUGCAGUUUGAAUAGUUAGGUGAGAAAUAACUUGGGUUGUAUUUAACUUUUUUCCAACUAAAAGAUUAAAAAAAAAAAAAAAAACUCAGACAUUACAUUUUUAUUAUUUCACUGGCGGAGUUGUUUGCUUUGCGCAAUUCGUCUGGUUUAAUAAACCCUAACUUGGUUAUGCAGUUUGAAUAGUUAGGUGAGAAAUAACUUGGGUUGUAUUUAACUUUUUUCCAACUAAAAGAUUCACAUAUAUAUA